GGUUCGGAGUAUUUCCCCUGGAUUCAGAUCUCAGUAUCACACAUUCUCACCAAAGCGCGCUUUGGUAUAUUUUCCAUUCCUCCUUUUCCGUGUUCUCUGCGCUUUUUAUUUUUGCAUUUCGAUUUUGAUUAAAAAAGGCGAAUUUCCAUUGCUGAACCUUAAAGAAUGUUGUAGAUCAUCUACGAUCUAAGGUGUUGUCUCCUCUAAAUUCGUUUGAAGUUUCAACAUUUCCCUCACAGGGGCAUUUCUACGUUCAGAUCUGGAAGUUUUUAUGGAAGAAGCUCUCUGUUCAGUGUCGUGAAAAGUCUCUUAGAAUGUAUGUAGUUUUCCUUUCUGUUUUCAGCCUAUUACUAGUGUUAGCGUAGAUCUUGCAGCGAGGAUCAAGUGGCUCUGUUUGCGGCUCACAGUUUCGUUUUUGUUUCGCUGGUUUUGGCUCCUUCGGAUCUGGAAUUUCACGAAGGCGCUUUUCUGUGUUUUUGGUACUGUAGAAGCUCACGUUUCCUGAGGUUCUGUAUCUCUUCUUUUCUGAGCCUUCGUGUUCCAUGUGUAUCUGGGAUACAAGGGUUCAAGAAACGAGCUUGUGAUCUUACGACGCUUCCAAGGGUCUUAUAGGCUCUGUGUUCUUCAAGUUCGAUUAUUGCGUCUCUUCAUCUUUCUUUCUCUUGACUCUUCAAGUUUCCGCUCGCCUAUCUGUUGUUCGAAUUCUCGAUUACGUUUUUCUCUGUAUAGUUUUGAAUUUUUGGGGUGUCUCUCACUUAUCAACAAGCCAGAAAUUAUGGGAAACGGUUUGCUUCCUCCCGUUUCCUAAUCUGUAGGAAACAUACAAACUCCCCAAGGAAAGAAAAUCUCUUGUUUAGAGCACAACGGCUCUUUACAUCGGCCUUCCGAUUUUCUAGGGGCCUGGAAGUUUUGAAAUUGCACCUUCAUUUCUUCAUUAAAGUUCUUCAUUUAAGUUCUUCGGUUUCUGCAAUUACUUCUGUUUCAUCAUUCACUCCACUUUCGAUAUAGAAAAUGCAGCGGCCUCCCCCUCCCGAAGACUACUCCCUGAAGGAGACGUCGCCCCACCUUGGUGGUGGAGGGGUCACUGGUGACAAGCUUACGAGCACCUAUGACUUGGUUGAGCAGAUGCAAUACCUUUACGUUCGGGUUGUCAAAGCCAAGGAACUACCAGCAAAAGAUGUAACUGGAAGCCUUGAUCCGUAUGUUGAAGUGAAGCUAGGAAACUACAAGGGCACGACUCGUCAUUUCGAAAAGAAGACGAAUCCCGUGUGGAACCAAGUCUUUGCUUUCUCAAAGGAUCGAAUGCAAGCCUCUACAUUGGAGGUUAUUGUGAAGGACAAAGAUAUGGUGAAGGAUGAUUUUGUUGGCCGAGUAGUGUUCGAUAUAACUGAAGUCCCUAAACGAGUUCCUCCAGACAGCCCUUUAGCACCGCAAUGGUACAGGCUAGAAGAUCGGAAGGGAGAUAAGGUUAGAGGGGAGCUCAUGUUGGCUGUGUGGAUGGGCACCCAGGCUGAUGAAGCAUUUCCUGAAGCAUGGCAUUCUGAUGCGGCUGCAGUUAGCAGUGAAGGCCUUGCUAACAUCCGAUCAAAGGUAUACCUCUCUCCCAAGCUUUGGUAUGUUAGGGUUAACGUGAUUGAAGCUCAGGACUUAAUACCUGGUGACAAGACUAGGUUCCCAGAGGUUUUUGUUAAGGUUAUCCUUGGUAAUCAGGCUUCGAGAACUAAAAUUUCUCAGAGUAGGAAUAUUAAUCCAAUGUGGAAUGAGGAUUUGAUGUUUGUAGCGGCAGAACCUUUUGAGGAGCAUUUAAUGUUGACUGUGGAAGAUAGAGUUGGACAUAACAAAGACGAAGUUCUGGGGAAAUGUGUGAUUCCUUUGCAGAAUGUGGAGAGAAGAUUGAAUAAUAGGGUGGUGAACGCUAAGUGGUAUAAUCUUGAGAAGCAUGUGAUUGUUGAUGGGGAAAAGAAAGAGAUAAAAUUCGCCAGUAGGAUUCAUCUCAGGAUCUGUUUGGAUGGUGGAUAUCAUGUUCUGGAUGAAUCAACACACUACAGCAGUGAUCUUAGACCAACCGCUAAGCCAUUGUGGAAAAAUAGCAUUGGAGUUUUGGAAUUGGGGAUUUUGAAUGCUCAAGGAUUGUUGCCAAUGAAGACCAAGGACGGAAGGGGUACAACAGAUGCCUAUUGCGUGGCCAAAUACGGGCAGAAGUGGGUACGAACAAGAACCAUCAUAGAUAGCUCUACUCCAAAGUGGAAUGAGCAAUACACAUGGGAGGUUUUUGAUCCUUGCACUGUCAUUACAAUUGGUGUAUUUGAUAAUUGUCACUUGCAUGGAGGAGGAGAUAAGGCUGGAGGGGCAAAGGAUUCAAGAAUUGGAAAGGUUAGGGUUCGUCUUUCUACGCUUGAAACUGAUCGGGUUUACACUCACUCCUAUCCUCUUCUGGUAUUACAUCCCUCUGGUGUCAAGAAGAUGGGUGAAGUUCAGUUGGCUGUGAGGUUUACAUGCUCGUCUUUGCUAAAUAUGUUGCAUAUAUACACACAGCCAUUGUUGCCAAAAAUGCAUUACCUUCAUCCAUUAUCUGUUACUCAGCUUGAUAACUUGAGACACCAGGCCACUCAGAUUGUCUCUAUGAGGCUGAGCCGUGCAGAGCCACCAUUGAGGAAAGAGGUUGUGGAAUAUAUGUUGGACGUUGAUUCACAUAUGUGGAGUAUGAGGAGGAGCAAAGCUAAUUUUUUCAGGAUUAUGGGGGUUCUCAGUGGGUUAAUUGCUGUUGGAAGGUGGUUUGAUCAGAUAUGCAAUUGGAAAAACCCUCUUACGACCAUUCUGAUUCACAUCCUCUUUUUAAUAUUGGUCCUGUAUCCAGAGUUGAUUCUACCCACAGUUUUUCUCUAUCUUUUCUUGAUUGGGGUUUGGUACUAUCGGUGGAGGCCAAGACACCCACCUCACAUGGAUACCCGUCUGUCUCAUGCUGAUAAUGCACAUCCUGAUGAAUUGGAUGAAGAGUUUGACACAUUCCCAACAUCACGCCCUGCUGAUAUUGUGAGGAUGAGAUAUGACCGUUUGAGAAGUGUGGCCGGGAGGAUUCAGACAGUGGUUGGUGAUUUAGCAACCCAAGGGGAAAGGUUGCAGUCUCUGCUGAGCUGGAGAGAUCCGAGAGCUACAGCUUUGUUCGUGACUUUCUGUUUGAUUGCUGCCAUAGUCCUGUAUGUGACACCAUUUCGUGUUGUGGCUCUCAUCACAGGUUUUUAUGUGUUGAGGCAUCCUAGGUUCCGCCACAAGCUUCCUUCGGUGCCUCUGAACUUUUUCAGGAGGUUACCUGCAAGAACAGACAGCAUGUUAUGAGCUCAGUUCAUUGUGCUUGUGCAUGUAGCGGUCAGGAACUCAAUCUGGAAUCUCCUCCCAUCUUGUGUGCCAUUCCUUUUAUACAGUAGUUGUGGUUAUGUGGCUCUGGAGGUCGCUCAUUUAGAUUUGUUUGCAAUUGGUAGCUGAUGUUGGGUUCUGCUUCUUUGGAUGAUCUUUCAGGGAUUGUGGAGGCUAAACUGUUUAUGCUACAACCAUGGUUCUAAGUAUCGAUAUCUUAUCGUCUGUAUGCUGAUAUAACUCUACAACUGCUGCACGUUGUUCUUUUAAUUGUGCGACAAGCAUAGUCCCAAGCAGUGUUAGCAACGUUUAUAUUUUUUUAUUGUUUAAAACAUGUUUUACCGUAUGCUUUGCAAAGAUACGGAAAACAACAUCAAACUUCAAGCAUUCUUGUUCGAAACUCGUUUAAAACAUGUUCCCGUUUUAUGGCAUUUUUUAAGACUUCAUUUUUUAACAUAAUGUCUAUUUAAUCGACCAUAUAUCUCUUUCUU